ACAUAUAAAAGUGUUUCCAUAAUUUCCGUGAUGGUUUUCUUUUUCUUUAAAAGGAGGGAAGCCACCCCUCCCUCCUUCUAUCUACAUGGUGAAAGCUGACUCUGUACUUACUACCAAUUGUAGACUAAGAGCAAGUCCAGCAGCUCCCAAUAACCUCCCCGAUAACGUUUUUAGGGGAGAAAACGCAAAAACGUGUCUCCAGCAGUUCCCCUAUCGAGCCCCCGAAAAAUCGGCGUCCCCGAUCCGUCAGUUCUUCUCCCCUACAGAUCGGGGAGGCGGAGGCCUCCCCUAUCCACGCCCGGGACAAUCCCUCCCGCCAAAACGAGCCUGGCACCCUCCUUCUCCUUUCUCCCGCCAUGAGCCGGCCGGAGCCAGACGCGAGGGGCGGCAACCAGAGGCGGGCGCGGCGGCUAGCACGCGAAGGGGGGCGGCAGCGGCCAGAUGCGGGAGGCGGCGGCCAGCACGCAAGGGGUGGCGCCGGCCAGAUGCGGCGGCCAGCAGAGGGCGGGGGCGGCCAGCCGGCCAUCAGGGGGCCCGGCGGCCAGAUGCGGCGGCCAACAAGGUGGUCUGCUCGGUGGGGAAGAGGGAGAGGAAGAGGCGCAGGCCGCGGGCGGGGUGUUCUGUGGAGAAGAAAGGAGAGGAAAGCAGAGAGGGAGAGGAGAAAGAGAUAAGAAAUAGGUGGAGAGGGAGAAAGAGAUGAGAAAUAGAAGAAGGGAAGAAAUAGAUGAAAUUGUUGCAAUUUUGCUAGAUGUGCAUUACGAGAGUAACAUUGCAUUAUGUAGAAAAUGAUACAGUCACCGUUUACACCCCACCGUGAUUUAAAAACAUAUUAGAAAUCUCAUACACUACAUUAUUGCUACCACUUAUUAAAACUACAUCAUUCCACGGAUCUGCCACAAGUGCUCAACUAGAUCAACUUGACGCUGACAAUGAACUUCUUUGUUUCGAAUAGCGUUGUGAGCUUGAAGAAACUGAGUCAACGUAGCUGCCUCUUCACGAGAAGGAUGAUACAAGCUGUCAUGAUUUCUCCGAGUGUUUCCAAAUCCCAAUACCUUGCUAGUCCACGUACAAUGGCAAAACGAGCUUGCAGAACUCCAAAGGCUCGUUCAACAUCCUCCCGACAAGCUUCUUGGCAUCGUGCAAAAUGUUUAUUUUUUUCAGUUGUCGGAUUUGGAAUUGUCUUCACGAAUGUGGCCCAUCGCGGAUAUAUGCCAUCUGCAAGGUAAUACCCCAUGUUGUAGUUGUGACCAUUGAUGGUAUAAUUCACUUCUGGAGCAUGCCCUU